AGGGUAGCCAAACAGGUGCUUCGCUUCUACAACAAUGAAGUAUUUCUUUGCAGGCUUUGCGAAACUCGGUUUUGGGGCUUGGCUGCUCUAUAUACAACACAUGCAAAUCCCUGAUACAGAAGGACACUCUGAGGCAGUCAUACGACUGUAUCUUACAACCGGUUCGUAACGAGAGCUCGCCCCAUUACACACGUCUCAAUUUAACGAAAGAACACAGGGAAGUUGCCGCGAAUGCCUUGGCCUGUGCUUGGGAUGUAGUGGCCGCUCAUCCUUCCAACAUUGAAGCUCUGGAUGAUGCAGCUGCGUUGACACGCCGAGUUGUACUGACUUUUGGAUGGACUUAACUGAAUAAACCGUUAA
rnacentral:misc_RNA from 1 species